UGCCGCGUGCGGGAAGAAGGCCUUCGGGUUGUAAACCGCUUUUAGUCGGGAAGAAAGGGUUCUCUUGAAUACGGAGGAUCUUUGACGGUACCGGCGGAAUAAGCACCGGCUAACUACGUGCCAGCAGCCGCGGUAAUACGUAGGGUGCGAGCGUUAAUCGGAAUUACUGGGCGUAAAGCGUGCGUAGGCGGUUCUCCAAGUCCGUUGUGAAAGCCCCGGGCUCAACCUGGGAAUGGCAGUGGAAACUAGGGGACUGGAAUCUGGCAGAGGGGGGUGGAAUGCCGCGUGUAGCAGUGAAAUGCGUAGAGAUGCGGCGGAACACCGAUGGCGAAGGCAGCCCCCUGGGCUGAGAUUGACGCUCAGGCACGAAAGCGUGGGGAGCAAACAGGAUUAGAUACCCUGGUAGUCCACGCCCUAAACGAUGGCAACUAGGUGUUGGGGAAGCGAUUUCCUGGUACCGCAGCUAACGCGUGAAGUUGCCCGCCUGGGGAGUACGGUCGCAAGAUUAAAACUCAA
rnacentral:rRNA from 1 species